GAUGAACGCUGGCGGCGUGCCUAAUACAUGCAAGUCGAGCGAACGGACGAGAAGCUUGCUUCUCUGAUGUUAGCGGCGGACGGGUGAGUAACACGUGGAUAACCUACCUAUAAGACUGGGAUGACUUCGGGAAACCGGAGCUAAUACCGGAUAAUAUUUUGAACCGCAUGGUUCAAAAGUGAAAGACGGCCUUGCUGUCACUUAUAGAUGGAUCCGCGCUGCAUUAGCUAGUUGGUAAGGUAACGGCUUACCAAGGCAACGAUGCAUAGCCGACCUGAGAGGGUGAUCGGCCACACUGGAACUGAGACACGGUCCAGACUCCUACGGGAGGCAGCAGUAGGGAAUCUUCCGCAAUGGGCGAAAGCCUGACGGAGCAACGCCGCGUGAGUGAUGAAGGUCUUCGGAUCGUAAAACUCUGUUAUUAGGGAAGAACAUAUGUGUAAGUAACUGUGCACAUCUUGACGGUACCUAAUCAGAAAGCCACGGCUAACUACGUG
rnacentral:rRNA from 1 species